ACUCCGCCUUCCUGCGCGUUGUACGGUUGCCAAGGGGACGCACCACUCUCCAGGACCUUCUGGGCGCAUCUGGGGACUAAGAAAAGCCAGAGACAGCUCUGGAGGCUGGGGCAUCCAAGUGCAUGGCUGUGGCAUCUGGCCAGACAAGAAGAAGGUUUAACAUUAGACACCUGAGUGGCUGCUGUGAUAAGAUACCAUUAAACAUGAUG
rnacentral:lncRNA from 10 species